rnacentral:rRNA from 1 species
UUGAACGCUGGCGGAAUGCUUUACACAUGCAAGUCGAACGGUAACAGGUCUUCGGAUGCUGACGAGUGGCGAACGGGUGAGUAAUGCAUCGGAACGUGCCCAGUCGUGGGGGAUAACGCAGCGAAAGCUGUGCUAAUACCGCAUACGAUCUAUGGAUGAAAGCGGGGGAUCGCAAGACCUCGCGCGAUUGGAGCGGCCGAUAUCAGAUUAGCUAGUUGGUGGGGUAAAGGCCUACCAAGGCUACGAUCUGUAGUUGGUCUGAGAGGACGACCAGCCACACUGGGACUGAGACACGGCCCAGACUCCUACGGGAGGCAGCAGUGGGGAAUUUUGGACAAUGGGCGCAAGCCUGAUCCAGCAAUGCCGCGUGCAGGAAGAAGGCCUUCGGGUUGUAAACUGCUUUUGUCAGGGAAGAAAUCUUCUGGGCUAAUACCCCGGGAGGAUGACGGUACCUGAAGAAUAAGCACCGGCUAACUACGUG